rnacentral:ncRNA from 2 species
GGCGUGUGAUCCAAAAGGCCUCGUAUAAUGCCGGGAAUAUGGCUCGGCAGUCUCUACCAAGCGACCGAGAAUCGCUUGCGCUACGAGGCCGUUGUCAUAGAGC